UUAAGUUAGAAAGGGCGCACGGUGGAUGCCUUGGCACUAGGAGCCGAUGAAGGACGGGGCAAACGCCGAAACGCUUCGGGGAGCUGUAAGCAAGCGUUGAUCCGGAGAUGUCCGAAUGGGGGAACCCACUGUCCGUAAUGGGGCAGUAUCCAUACCUGAAUCCAUAGGGUAUGGAGGGCACACCCGGGGAACUGAAACAUCUCAGUACCCGGAGGAGAAGAAAGCAACCGCGAUUCCCUGAGUAGCGGCGAGCGAAACGGGAACAGCCCAAACCAAGAGGCUUGCCUCUUGGGGUUGUAGGACCACUCAAAUGGGAGUGACAAAGGAACGGGGUAGACGAAGCGGUCUGGAAAGGCCCGCCAGAGAAGGUGACAGCCCUGUAGUCGAAACUUCGUUCCCUCCCGAGUGGCUCCUGAGUACGGCGGGACACGGGGAAUCCCGUCGGAAGCAGGGAGGACCAUCUCCCAAGGCU
rnacentral:rRNA from 1 species